rnacentral:rRNA from 1 species
GAAAGUAAAUAAGGGCGCAUGGCGGAUGCCUUGGCUCUCGGAGGCGAUGAAGGACGUGAUAAGCUGCGAUAAGCUUCGGGUAGGUGCAAAUGACCUUUGAUCCGAAGAUUUCCGAAUGGGACAACCCGGCAUUCUGAAGGAAUGUCAUCCAACUAAGUUGGAGGCUAACGCAGGGAACUGAAACAUCUUAGUACCUGCAGGAAAAGAAAAUAAAUAAUGAUUCCCCUAGUAGUGGCGAGCGAACGGGGAUUAGCCCAAACCACCCAUGUUACGGCAUGUGUGGGGUUGUAGGACCACGCUCUCGCAAGACAGUUAUUGAGAAGAAACGACUGGAAAGUCGUGCCAUAGACGGUGAUAGCCCGGUAUUCUAAGGUAACCGAAGCGUAGUGGUAUCCUGAGUAGCGCGGAGCACGAGGAAUUCUGCGUGAAUCAGCCGGGACCAUCCGGUAAGGCUAAAUACUCCCGAGAGACCGAUAGCGAACCAGUACUGUGAAGGAAAGGUGAAAAGCACUUCGAAUAGAAGAGUGAAAUAGUCCCUGAAACCAUGCGCCUACAAGCGGUCGGAGCAGCGUAAGUUGUGACGGCGUGCCUUUUGCAUAAUGAACCUACGAGUUACUUUUUCCGGCAAGGUUAAGCAUCUUGAGAUGUGGAUCCGAAGCGAAAGCGAGUCUGAACAGGGCGGAUAGUCGGAAGGAGUAGACGCGAAACCAAGUGAUCUACCCUUGGGCAGGUUGAAGGUUAGGUAACACUAACUGGAGGACCGAACCGAUAAGCGUUGAAAAGCUUCCGGAUGACCUGAGGGUGGGGGUGAAAGGCUAAUCAAACUUGGAGAUAGCUCGUACUCCCCGAAAUGCAUUUAGGUGCAGCCUUGAGAGUUACUAAUGUGAGGUAGAGCGACUGAUAAGAUGCGAGGGCUUCACCGCCUAUCAAGUCUUGAUAAACUCCGAAUGCGCAUUAGUUCUAUCUCAGGAGUGAGGGCAUGGGUGCUAAGGUCCAUGUCCUAAAGGAGAAGAAUCCAGACCAUCAGCUAAGGUCCCCAAAUAAACACUAAGUUGAACUAACGAAGUCAGAUUGCUAAGACAGCUAGGAUGUUGGCUUGGAAGCAGCCAUUCAUUUAAAGAGUGCGUAACAGCUCACUAGUCGAGGAGUUUGGCGUGGAUAAUAAUCGGGCAUAAGUGUUUUACCGAAGCUAUGGGAUACGUAAGUAUCGGUAGGGGAGCAUUCCACUCGGCGUUGAAGGCGAAGCGUGAGCUUUACUGGAGCGUGUGGAAAAGCAAAUGUAGGUAUAAGUAACGAUAAAGGGGGUGAGAAACCCCCUCGCCGCAAGACUAAGGUUUCCUGAUCAACGCUAAUCGGAUCAGGGUUAGUCGGGUCCUAAGGCUCAGCCGAACGGUGAGGCCGAUGGCAGAACAGGUUAAUAUUCCUGUACUACCUGUAAGAGUGAUGUGGAGACGGAGGAGUGACAACGCCGCGGACUGACGGAAUAGUCCGUUAAAGGGUGUAGAUGUUGAUUAUCCCAGGCAAAUCCGGGAUAAGAGUCGAACCUGACAGUAUACCAAUUUCCUCGGAAAACGGUAAUAGUGCGUGUAAACAUACUCCCAAGAAAAUCCGCUAAACUUAAUCUUACAGGUACCCGUACCGUAAACGGACACACGUAGUCGGGUUGAAUAUACUCAGGCGCUUGAGUGAAUCACGGUUAAGGAACUAGGCAAAUUGACCCUGUAACUUCGGGAUAAAGGGUCCCUACCCGGUGACGGGAGGGCGCAGAGAAUAGGUCCAGGCAACUGUUUAACAAAAACACAGGGCUGUGCAAAAUUGAAAGAUCACGUAUACAGCCUGACACCUGCCCGGUGCUGGAAGGUUAAGAGGAGAUGUCAUCGCAAGAGAAGCAUUGAAUUGAAGCCCCAGUAAACGGCGGCCGUAACUAUAACGGUCCUAAGGUAGCGAAAUUCCUUGUCGGGUAAGUUCCGACCUGCACGAAUGGUGUAAUGAUCUGGACACUGUCUCAACCGUGAGCUCAGUGAAAUUGUAGUAUCGGUGAAGAUGCCGAUUACCCGCGAUGGGACGAAAAGACCCCGUGAACCUUUACUAUAGCUUAACAUUGAAUUUGGGUAAUUGAUGUGU